rnacentral:rRNA from 1 species
GUAUCGCGGUGCGAGGGGCGGGUGUAAGUCGGAGUGUGCAGGUGUUAUCGGGUUUGUUUGGGUUUAAAGGGUCCGUAGGUGGGGUCGUAAGUCAUGGGUGAAAUCCUACAGCUGAACUGUAGAACGUCCAUUUAUACUGCGAGUCUUGAGUGUAGUUGAGGUAGCUGGAAUGAGUAGUGUAGCGGUGAAAUGCAUAGAUAUUACUCAGAACACCAAUUGCGAAGGCAGGUUACCAAGUUACAACUGACGCUGAUGGACGAAAGCGUGGGGAGCGAACAGGAUUAGAUUCCCCAGUAGUC